AAAUGCGUCAUACUGUGGUAAGAGAAGAUUAAACAUCAUUCUCAACUGUAAAUGUUUUUAUGUAAUACUACUAAUAAUCACAAAAAUGAAAUGAGUUGAUAGUAUGAUUCAUUUGUUACACAGGGGAUUAAAGAAGAUUAACAUCUAUUUCAACUGUAAAUGUUUUUAUGUAAUACUAAUAAUCACAAAAAUGAAAUGAAUUUAUAAUAUGUUUCAUUUGUUACACAUUGGGAAAGAAGAUUAACCACCAUUCUCAAUUGUGAAUGUUUUUUUAUGUAACACUACUAAUAAUCACAAAAAUGAAAUGAGUUAUACUAUAUAUGUUUCAUUUGUUACACAGGGGAAAAAGAAGAUUAGCAUCUAUCUCAAAUGUAAAUGUUUUUAUGUAAUACUAAUUAAUAAUCACAAAAAUGAAAUAAGUUUAUAGUAUGGGAAAGAAAGAAGAUUAACCAUCAUUCUCAACUGUAAAUGUUUUUAUGUAAUAAUCACAAAAAUGAAAUGAGUUAUAUAGUAUGUUUCAUUUGUUAUAUACAUUUGAGUAUUUGACCAUAUAUUAUGUUUUUGUUAGGUCACACAAUUGUUACUUACUUACUUAAACUUACAUAUUAAUGUAGUGAUACAGAACAAUGAGAUUGAGAAAGGUACCUUUCUCAGCAGAGGAAGAACAAAAGCAUGAAAAUCCGAGAAUAGCAAAGAAGACGAGUCUCCAACACCCGGAAAAAUCCAUGAGCUGAAUUGAAGUAGGAAGUUAUAUGAAAUUAUACAAUUUUGUGAAGAAGCAACAAAAUAUAAUGAGAGGCAACUACUCCUCUUUAAAUAACUUUCUGAAUGAAAAGAAAUGUUAUAAUUUCACUGCUAGAAAUUUUAGUGGGCAUGCAUUUUCCUUUGAGAGAGGGCCACAAAGGGGAAUAACGAUAAAUAGCUAGCGUACGUACACCAGAUUUGAUCUCAGGUCUUGGAUAUCACCCUCUCAAAUUAAAGCAGCUUUUACCUUCUUCUAGACUGCUAUGGGGUGUAUAUCAAGGUAUAUAAAGGGACGUAUUCAAUGCAUUUUGACAAAAAUGGCGAGGGUAAAGAAAUUAAAUAGGGGUGACUAGGUGAGAAUGAGCUCUUGAAUCCACUCUCUGAGAUCGAUCAAUACCGGUAUCCUUUCUAGUAAUGUUAAUAUAGGAUACGUACACAAUAUUUUCUUAUUGUGUAACCGUGCCCUUUUGAUUAAGGAAAGUGGUUAUUACAACUUUGAUUAAUAGAAAUGAUUAUCCCAACUUUCUUGGGAAGUAAUUCCUUAAGAGAAAUGGUUUUUGUCAAUUUUCCUUGGUGUAGUAGAAGGCAUACAUGAUACAUGCCAUAUUGAGGUUAAUGGUUAUUUUAGGGAUUGAACUUUG